UACGUAGGGUGCAAGCGUUAAUCGGAAUUACUGGGCGUAAAGCGUGCGCAGGCGGUGAUGUAAGACAGGUGUGAAAUCCCCGGGCUUAACCUGGGAACUGCAUUUGAAACUACGAGGCUAGAGUGUGUCAGAGGGGGGUAGAAUUCCACGUGUAGCAGUGAAAUGCGUAGAGAUGUGGAGGAAUACCGAUGGCGAAGGCAGCCCCCUGGGAUAACACUGACGCUCAUGCACGAAAGCGUGGGGAGCAAACAGG
rnacentral:rRNA from 1 species